rfam:Ictidomys tridecemlineatus contig093922, whole genome shotgun sequence.
GUGGCUGUGGCUCAGUGGUAGAGUGCUUGCCUAGUAGGCAUUAGGCACUGAGUUCGAUCCUCAGCACCACA